rnacentral:rRNA from 1 species
UACGGAGGGUGCAAGCGUUAAUCGGAAUUACUGGGCGUAAAGCGUGCGCAGGCGGUUUGUUAAGUCUGUUGUGAAAUCCCCGAGCUCAACUUGGGAAUUGCAAUGGAUACUGGCAGGCUGGAGUAUGGUAGAGGAAGGUGGAAUUCCCGGUGUAGCAGUGAAAUGCGUAGAGAUCGGGAGGAACAUCAGUGGCGAAGGCGGCCAUCUGGGACAACACUGACGCUGAAGCACGAAAGCUAGGGGAGCGAACAGG